rnacentral:rRNA from 1 species
CAGCCGCCGCGGUAAUACGUAUGUCACAAGCGUUAUCCGGAUUUAUUGGGCGUAAAGCGCGUCUAGGUGGUUAUGUAAGUCUGAUGUGAAAAUGCAGGGCUCAACUCUGUAUUGCGUUGGAAACUGUGUAGCUAGAGUACUGGAGAGGUAAGCGGAACUACAAGUGUAGAGGUGAAAUUCGUAGAUAUUUGUAGGAAUGCCGAUGGGGAAGCCAGCUUACUGGACAGAUACUGACGCUAAAGCGCGAAAGCGUGGGUAGCAAACAGGAUUAGAUACCCCAGUAGUCCCUGUCUCUUAUACA